UUUUAUCUUUUUUUUAUUUAUUACUUUAUUAGUAUUAUUUGUGGAGGGAACAUAAACGUUCACCUCGUCAGUUCUGCAUCCGUUCCCGUUUUGUACGGUCCACCAUUUUAAAGACUUCGUACAUUGCCUUUGUUUGAUCAAAGAGUCACACAGUAUUUUUACGAAUGCAAUUAGCAGUUACAGACACACAACGAAAAUUACACUGAAAAAAAUAUGUGCACGAAUUCAUAAAGUAACGUGACCAGCGCAAACACUACAGCGCCGAUGAUAAUGAUGAUGACGCUGGCGUUAGCAGUCACCAUCGCCGCCGACUACGACAGCGACAUCAGCUAAAGAUGCAAAGCCGACACAUUUACUUUGCUAUGGACCGGAAUGGAUUGAAAAUGGAAUGGAAUGAGUUGUGCAGCGAUUAUUGGUUUCUGCUUUGCGCACUCGUUUCUUUGCCAAUUUCUCUUUUAAUAACAUAUGUACAUAUUUAUAGAUAUGCUUCCCCACUUUAUUUAUGACUAUUUUGCCUGAUUUCGAUAUUAAUUCUUGUUGCUUUUCAUUUAUCACACGCUUCGCAUAUUUGACAUUAUGCUGUUAUUUUACAUUUCUUGUAUUCUAUUUUAUACACUUUGGUGCCUUGUACCAAGCCCAAAAAAGAAGUAAAUAAAACAAACAAAAAUGUUUAAAUGAAAUUAACUCGAAAGACCAUUCAUUCGUUUUCUUUCGGAAAUUGGUUUAUUUGGGAGUUCGUUGGUCUGUCUGUGACGGUUGAUGGUUGACAGCAUGUUUGUUAGCCAUUGUCAGUUGGUUGGAGAAUUUAAAGAAUUGUAUGAAUCAUCAGCAACAAAUUAAGGCGAAGCUCACAGCUCACUCAAUACUUCUCAGCUGCUUUGAAAAUCAUUGCCGGAACUUCAUACUUUGCACAUAUGGACAUUGUGAGCAAAGGUUAAACAUUUUGUUAAAUACUCAUGUAUGUAGUAGAUACAUGCAUACGUAUGUAUGUAUGUAAAUAGCAAUUAUGUUUUAUAGCAACUCAUGACCCCAUAUGUACAUGUGCAUGCACAUACAUAUGUAUAUUGUUGAGCACUGAUACUAGGUAUAGCAAUUGGUUUGAACGUUUUUCUGGUAUUUAACCUUCAAACAAGAGAAAAAAUCAAUUUCCAAAGAAAUUUCACUAUAACGGCAAUGCUGUACGUAUGAAAGUGCAUUUACCCAACUUUCUGUUUACUAAUUUACAUCUUUGCUCUUUUGACAUUUCCACAAGUUUUAGUGUUUGUAAAUCAGUAAGCUGUUUCAAUGUUUUGAUUAUACAUAUGCAUAUCGAUAAAUGUACAUAUAUACAUUGUGUGCGUAAAAGAUGUGUAGUAAUAUUAAUAAAAAAAGGCGGCUUACGUAUAAAUAAAAUUAAUAUUGCAUUUGUACAUGUAUUGUUUACAUAUGAAUUGCAAACUUUAUUCAGCUGCUAACCGAUUAUUACAAUAAUUAACUAGAAAGUAGUUGGUCACUUAUCAUUUCAUGCCUUUGAAUCAAACAAAAAACAAUAUGGCACUACUCCCGCGUAUUAUUAUGCUUUAUUGAUUAUUACGGCAAUUGCAAGUUGAUAUGUAUCCAAAUUUCGGACUUCACAGAUUUUGGACAAAAAUGCUAACUAAUUAUUUACCACUAUCCAUUAGAUAAGUAUUGAUCUUUGGAACGAAAGUUUGUAACAACAAAUUCUCAACCUUACGUCCUCAAAAUUACGAGUUCCCCAAUUAGCUGAAGAAAAUAUAAAUGAAUUAUGUAAAAUUAUACAUACAAACAUACAUACAUGUACAUAUGUUUGCCUGAAUAGAGUAUAUGAUUAGGUAUUCGAGUGAUUGAUUUAAAAAUGUAAAUGUCCAUAAAAAAAUCGGAUCCGUAUCGAUCUUAGUAACUCAAAAUUCCCAACUAUUAGCUGAAGAAAAUAUAUAUGAAUUAUGAAAUAUACAUAUGUAUUUUUAACGUAGAGAAGUGUAUACGAUAAUGAUCGCAACUAAAUUGGAUAGAGAUAUUCCCAUGGAAUUAUAAAUUAAACAAAAAAUUUAUCUUCAACAUUUCAAAUAUUUCAAGCCUAAAAAUAUGAUAACCGAAUUGAUAAUGGAUUUAUGUAUGCACAUACACUCACUCAAGCUGAUCCAACAUUUUACCAACACAAAGUCAAACAAAUAAUAAAUCUUCAACACGCCGACCGUACGAACGACCGACCGACUGAACGACCAUUUGACUAAAAAAACAAAGUCGAAACGAACCAAAAAUCAGUACUAAUCAACAAUACAUGUACAAUCAAAUUUUUUCUCUCUGUACACGCAAUCAGUAUUUACUCGCUGCCCGCAGGGGCAAAAAUGUGGAAAAGUGAAUUUAAGCAACGUGUUUUUGGUUUGCAACAAUGAUGAAAAAGCGAAGGAAACGAUGGCAAUGCUACCAAAGCAGCGAAAAGCACACAUCACAGUUAAAGAAAUAAAACGCAAAUAUGUAUAUACAUAUAUACAUUUUAUGCAGUACAUACAAUUGAAGCAGCGGAGACGACGACUUCAAAACAAUGACAACAGAAACAGCGACGACGGCAUUACAUACAAACAUAUUUUGCUAUAUAUGUAUGUAUGUAUUUGCAAUUCCGAUCUAACGAAAAGAAUGAUGACGAUAGCUAAAAUAAUAAAAUACGCUGCGGGAAUGUCGCUACGAAGAGGAAGGAAAAACCAACCAACAAAAAAAUAGCAUAAUUAUUAAAGAUGAUAAUGGCAAUAUGACGAUAAUAGCAACAACAGCAACGGAUGAAAAGAGCUAUGAUCAAUAACCACAAUAAGGGCGACUAGACACUGCACUGUUUUUGUUGUACAGGAACCUACAUAGUGUAUACAAACAUAUAUUUACAUGCACACAUACAUACGUACAUAGAAAUGUAUCUAUUUACACAAAAACGAUACUUAUUUGUACAAAUAUUAAACUUAGAGAUCAUAGAGUCAGUCAUUUUGGUUGUACGAGGUUAUAAUUACAUACAUAUAUGCAUCAAGAAAUUAUUAUGACAACAGCGGUGAGCGUUGUGGCGUUUUUGUACGAAUCAUUGACCUCAAUCACAGUGGAUUUUCAGAGAGAACUGCUAAAACUAAAAUUAUACAUAAUAAAAUUGAUUACUUAAACUUGAAGUUAUUUCAAUUGUUUUACUUGGUACGACCUAGAAUAUUAUCAACCUCCUAGUAUAUGAGACGACCGGACCGGAGAAAUGUCCCUGUUAUUUUUAAACAAAACACAUUUGUAAUAAAAUACAUACAGAUGUAUUUUGAAAAGGUCCAAAGGUUAUGGAGAUGGUACACACAUGGUACUGCAAUAUACACCCAAUAAACGGCACACACGCUCUGCCAGAGAUGAGUAAUAUGAUGAUGAUGAUGUUGAAAGUAAACGAAACGAAAAUCGAUUUAUAGAAGCUAGGUUGAGGGACAAAAUGGAGAUCUACGUUAAAUAAAUAAUAGAUGGCACAGAUAACACAA